UAUUAAGCAUUAAAAAUUAUUUUUAAUGGAACCAUAGAUUUUCGUUUGAUUUUCAUCAUUUUGAACAAACCUUCCAUUACAACCUGAUCAUCAUUCAAUGGAUUAUCGCAAUUACAGAGAGAGAGAUUAAAAGACACAGCGCAAAUUAGCCACUACUGACCUGAAAACUAGGCAGUAGGAAGGCAAUAAGCCACACAAGGGGACAGACUGAUUUCCUGCGAACAUCGCUCGUCUACAAAUAACCUUUGGGCUGUUCGUCGUCUGAUGGCAUGCAUCCACUAUACGAGUCGUCGAUAAUGGAGUAGUUUUUAAAACCGCAAAAUUACGUCAUUACAAAUCAAGAAGAAGAAAAAAAACUAAAACAACAAACUAACUUAAAAUGGGGGUAUAUGCGUCAAUCUGUUGCAAAGACUUGGAGAUAUUGAUUGGUCAGCUGGUGCAAGGAGAAGGGGCAUGACCUUGUGCUAGGGGGCGAGGCCAAUGCCCACCACAGUCUCUGGGGAAGCACGGAUACCAAUGAAAGAGGUGGAGGAGGAGUUCCCAAAACAAUGGUGGAAUUAUAAAAAAAUGUUCAAAUCCAUGUAAUUCAUGGUGUUUGUUGGCUCUAUCUACUCCCACUAUCAUUUCAAAUUGAAAUUUAAGAUAAUUUAGUUUUAAAUUUUGUAAUGCAUACAAAUUUGCCUUAGUUUUGUU